GGGCUGCCAGAGGGAGCAUCUGCGGCAGGCGCAGCAGCGGCUCCGGGAGGUGGCGUUGGAGGUUCAGGCGGCGCAGCUGAAACUGCUGCGACAAACCAGUGAGAGGGAGAAGAAGGAGCUGCAGAAGAUCCUGGAGCGGCGCCGACAUCACAGCAUCACGGAGGCGCGUGGACGGGGGGGGCGGCGGCAAACGUACGGAGACCCCCGGGACCCCCCCCAAAU